AUUGAACGCUGGCGGCAGGCCUAACACAUGCAAGUCGAGCGAGCGGCGGACGGGUGAGUAAUGUCUGGGAAACUGCCUGAUGGAGGGGGAUAAAUACUGGAAACGGUAGCUAAUACCGCAUACCAUCAGAUGUGCCCAGAUGGGAUUAGCUAGUGGGUGGGGUAAUGGCUCACCGAGGCGACGCUCCCUAGCUGGGCUGAGAGGAUGAGCAGCCACACGGGAACGGAGACACGUUCCAGACCCCUGCGGGAGGGAGCAGUGGGGAAUAUUGCACAAUGGGCGCAAUGCUGAUGCUGCCAUGCCGCGUGUGUGAAGAAGGCCUUCGGGUUGUAAAGCACUUUCAGCGGGGAGGCGUUACCCGCAGAAGAAGCACCGGCUAACUCCGUGCCAGCAGCCGCGGUAAUAC
rnacentral:rRNA from 1 species